rnacentral:rRNA from 1 species
CUCUUCGACCAACCCGAACCCCUAUUAACAUAUAAACUUUCCCCACCCCUAGACGAGGUAAGUCGUAACAUGGUAAGCCUACCGGAAGGUGGGCUUGGCACACCAC